rnacentral:rRNA from 1 species
UACAGAGAUGGCGAGCGUUACUCGGAUUUAUUGGGUGUAAAGGGCAGGUAGGUGGCUAUGCAAGUUGAUGGUGAAAUCCUGUGGCUUAACCACAGAACUGCCUUCAAAACUGCAUAGCUUGAGGCUAGAAGAGGAGAGCGGAAUUCCCGGUGUAAGGGUGAAAUCUGUAGAUAUCGGGAGGAACACCAGUGGCGAAAGCGGCUCUCUGGUCUAGCCCUGACGCUGAUCUGCGAAAGCUAGGGGAG